rnacentral:lncRNA from 1 species
ACAAGCAUGCGCAAAUCACACCGAGGCGAUGGCCCGAUCCAACAGAAAUUGCCGAGGGUCGACGAGUCGCAUAUAGAUUCAUCUAUAUAAUAUGUCGAGGCAUUCGGCCCAUUCCAAAAAUAAACACACACAGACAGACAGGCAGUCAAGAAGUCAACAUGGAGAAAUUAUCCAAGUAAGGCCAAUUCUCUUUAAUAAUUUGAGAA